UGAUGGCAGAAUAGAUGGAAUAGAGUAAAAACGUAGCCAUCUUCUGGCGAAUGUACAGUACUAAAAAGAUAUUUUCUAUCCUAUCGCAUCGUAUUUGUAAGUGUUUAAAUGAAUUUUAGAAUAGAUUUGUGAUAGAUUCGAAAUACUUUUAUAUCUAUAUAUAGUUUUUUCUAUUCGUCAGAAAAAAAGUGAUGUGUUAAGAUGAAAAUUUAAAAACAUAACCUUUUUUUUUAAUUCAUACUUUAUACGUAUGUUGUAAAUAAAUUGCAAAGUGAAAAAAAUACAAAUCGCAACUGUUUAAUGCUUUUUUUAUUUCUCUCUUCGUUUUUCUUUUUCGAUAUUCUUUCUCUUCGACUUCGUUGGUGAAUAAAUUACUCCUAUUACAAGAAUUAUAAAUUCGUAAGAGCACAUUAAAAUAUAACAAUUGAGGAUGCUUUCGCGUGAUAUUCUGCAUACAGACAAUUCACGACAGCGAGGGAACGGGGAAUUUAUUAAAAGAUUGAAUUAAAAGGACGUGCAGAAAAUGAAAAUAAUAAUAGCUAUAUACUACGGAGGAUAAAAUUAAAAGGAAAACUGAGAAAGGCAUACGGAACGAAUCUAAGAAUUGUGUACUUCAUUUUCUAAGAGAGACUGAAGAGAAAUAUUUACAAAAGAUGUCCUUUUCGCAAGGAGCUGCGUUUAUCAGUAUCACUACAGUGUCUACUUUCGUUAGAGAGUGCAGAGAGAUAUAUGUAUACAUGACAACAUGCUACCGGUGCUUUCCAAGUUCAUUCGGGAGGACUUCCGGCCCCCCCGAACACUUGUAAGCGAAAAUAUACAGGAGGAGAGUACCUUGAAGUAACUAGAACCUCCAUAGGUGGCAAAUAUUUUCAUACUGUCUUUUAUAUCUUUGAAAAAAUCAUUGUUACGUUAUUAUUUAUUCGAAAUAUAAAAAAAGAAACAAUUUUCAAUUAUACAUUUUCAUUGUUUAUUAAUUAAAAUGUUACUUUUAAUUGAUAAUUAUUGAUCAAAUGACAGUAAACGAAGUAAAAAAAUAUUAUAUCUUUUAACCGGCUAUGCUGCAAUUAAAAAAAUGGAUGGGAGGGAAAUAAAAGAGAGGAGAUAGAAGGAAAUGUACCUAAAUAAAAUUCAUUUGAAAAUCUUUUAUGUUAACCUCUUAAGCUGAUAAUUAUAUUGAUAAAAAUAUAUAUGACGUUAUUAAUUUAAAUGCGAAACGACAGUGUUUCGUUAUUUUACAGGGAAAAUCAUUCAAUUCGAAAAUUCUGAUUUUAAUAAAAUGUGUGUACGUGGAAUGUAAUAAAUUCCAUAUCAAGCAAUUUAUUUAUUGACGAAAAAUUUUUUUAAUAUCUUUAAAACAGUGAAAUUAGUUCUUAAAAUUUUAUCUUUUCAUUCUUUGAAUAUAAUAUUUCUUGAUUAGGUUACAAAGUUAUAUUUAAAAAGACAAAAAAAUACUUUAAAAUUUUGAACGUUAAAACUUUCACCUUCUUAAAUCGAUAUAUUCAUUAAAAAAAAAAAAAAUUCCUCAUAUAUAUGAUUCAUUAUAUCCUAUGUAUUAAUAAAAUUUUAUAUAAAAUAAAAAAUUAUUCGUUAAAAAAUUAGAAAAUAUUCAAAUAAAAAACUAAGUAUGAAUAUUUUCCUUGCUAAACAAGUAUUCAUACACGUGUACUUUAAAUCGGUUGAAGAAGCUAACAUACGUAUCAAAUAAGUACACGUUCAUGCUUAUCAAAUAAAAAUCCACGAGAAACAGCGAACAGCUUAAGAACAGGUUAAGUAUUGCGCUUCCGGCCGUUCAAACGGAAGUGAACGCAUUGCGCGAAUGUGGAUGCGCGAGGAACGAGAAGGAAAAGUGGCCGUGGUGUGGCAUCGCGCUGCGAAAGGGAGGUACGAGGUGACACGGUCCGGUAUACUAUAUCGUGCUUUAUCGGCCGUAACACAGAGCGAACUGGAAUGAGAAAGAGAAACGCGAAUUCGAGUGUAAGUAGUGCGUUAUACGCAACCGUGGCGCUCUCUACUCAUAGGAUGUACACGCCACGUACGUAAUAUAUGUAACAUCCUGAUAUUCUAGCUAAACGUAUAAUUACGAGUAAUUUACAAGUAACGAAAAUAUUCAGUGGAAAAAUUAAAUUCGAUAAUUUACGUUCUAUAUCGAGAUAAAUAUGUAGCGAGAAUAUAUUGAAAUGAUAUUGGAUUUAAUAUUUUAUAUAUUCGAGGAAAAUAAGCUUCUAAUGAAGUAUUUUAAGUUAUACAUUAAUAUCAAGCAUGUGAAAUUUAUUUGAUUGAUGUGUAAAUAUUGUAUCAUAAUUAGCGUUAAAAAGUGUUCAUAAAUUGUCGAAUAUGAUAAAUUUUCUAACUUAUUCAUAUUCAUAUGUGAAUUUAUAACAGUUGUAAAUGUUCGGUAUAAAAGAAUUUGUUGGAUCCAGAAAUUAUUAAAAGAUAAAGAAACAAGUUUAGAUAAAUAACAAAUAUUUUCGUCACUCAUAGUACAUGGAUCUAAAGAUAUAUAAUUGAACUGAACGCGAUGGAAAAAGAGCAACGGCCAUUAUUAUCAGCAAAUUGGUGGUAUUGUGCGCAUGAGAAAGACAUGAAUAUGUAGUCUGAAAAAGAAGGAUCGAAUAAUUUAUUAUCAUAUAACAGAUAUCGAACUAAAUAGAAGAUAUCUUAUCGAUAUAACUCUCUAUCUCUACAAAUUAAUCUGAAAAUACGAAUAGAAUAUUCAAAACAAAAUACAUGGAAGAAAAAUAUUUUCAUAAAAAAAAAAUCAUCCAUUCUUAGAUUCAUUUCAUAAACUUAUAUUCAUAAAAUAUAUUUAUAUAUAUAUAUAUAUAAAUAACUACGCGUUUCUAAAUUAUCCGAUUAUUUUUCAGAUUACCCUGUACACACGUAAAUACACGUACAACGAAAUAAUAUAUGGCGGUUAUAUCGUUAACGUUCAUUCUUGCUAUCACUGCAUAUAAUACUAUAAUAUCCACAAUGAUGAGGAGAGUGAAAGAGAUUGACUAGGCACGAGCUAUGAUGCAAUCUAAAUGUGCUCUGAGCGUUUUCUGUGCGUAUAAUUGCGUGUUGAGGGAUUGAAUAGGAAAUGGAUGGAUAAUAAUUACAUAAAGAAGUAGAAGCAACGGUGGAAAAACGAGUGGAUGAAUCAACAGCAUGAAAAUUCAAUUGGGUACUUUAAUUAACAAGAUGCUCUCCGACAUUAUUAUACAACAUAUUUAUACGUACAAAUAGGAAAAUUAGCGGGCAGAAAGAGAAGUGGUGAGAGAAUGUAGCUGCGAUAAAGGAAGAUAGAAGAAUGUGAGAGAAAGGCAGAAAAUAUACAUAUAUAUAUAUUAUAUAUAUACACAUAUAUAUAGAGCUGCAGCAAAAGCCUGAGCCACCUGCAGAGUUUUUCCGCUACUUCCAGAAUACAAAAAAACAAAAGGAGGGAGAGAGAGAGAGAGAGAAAGAGAGAAGAGAAAAGAAAACAGAGGAAAAGAGAGACAAACCAACGUGUAACCUCGCUCGGAGGGGGGAUAAGUUCGUGCUUUUUGGACCGCGCUUAGGGGGCGCUCGAGAUUACUCCGUGAGACAAUAUCAAUGGCGAUAAGUAUAUUGGGCGGUUGAAAAAAAUUCACGAGGUUAGAGAGAUUCUCGAAAUCGGAACGAAAAUUAAGAAUAAAAAGAAUUUGCAAUUUUUCGAUCAAGUUUGAAAAAUUUUUUUUUUAAUGUAAACGUAGAAUACAUUUCCCUUUUGAGAUUAGCUUUCGAGAGAAUCGAACUCGAAAAUUGGUCGAUUUCUACACGUUCAAUUUCGAUUUUCUCGAAAAGAAAAAUUUAAAAUUUUAUUGAAUAUCCUUCGCUUAUUUUUGUAGAAUAAUUACUUAUUGAUAGUUUAUCUGUUGUCGAUCUGAUCAAGAAUUUUACUUGUAUUUGAAAAAUGGUCAAACUUGAUCAUGCUCGAAUGUGAAAAAAUUUUAUUCUACAUUUUCGUUUUAUUUUGAAUAAGAAUCUUUCCGACUUCCUUUCUACUAUUUGAAUCAUGAAUACCGUUAUUUUUAAAAAUUCGUGACGGUCGUAUUUUUAAUUUAGAGCGAUAGAACGAUGAAAUAUAGAAAACUUAAUAUGUUUUCCACUCGAUACUCUGAUAAAAUAACGAAUGUUCGACUUCUUCUAUUUUUAUUCCAGUUAACGUGCUUCGUGGCCUUCUUUUCUUAAAUUAAACACAGACUGAAAAAUUAAAGGGUAAGAAUGGAGAAACAAGGAUUCAAGAAAUAUUCGUAAUAACUCUUUUACUCGAUUUGAUAAACGAAGAUUUAAAGAUUGCAUAACAAUGAAGUCAUGAAACAUUCAACAACGAUGAAAUCAUUAUCUAUAAAUAUCUAUCCCCGUUUGGGAACGUAACGAAAGAAGCAACAUCCACUCAAGAGGAGAGAAAACGCGUCGAAAAAAUUAUUUAUAAACAAUAAAAAAUAUUACGUCACGUUAACGGCAAUUCGUUCAAAUAUACAAAAAAAAAAUAAUUUGUGCGCAAAGGAACAAUUAAAAAAUCAAAAUUUA